UCUUCAUCUUCCAGAUUUCUCCGACCUACCAGUUCGCUGUCGAUACAUCGAAUAUUUCACAGGAGAGAGUGAUCGUGAUGGUCUUCCACCCACAGAUGCUAUCUUAUUAUCAAUGAAAACUUCCACGAUAUUCCCGCUCGCCAGUUUACUGGUUUUACUUGUUGGUGGAAUUAUUUGCUUCGUAGGCCAUUGCAACACACGAAGAAAUAGGUUGACAUUUUUUGGGGGCAUUCUAUUUGUUUUAGCAGGUAAUCGUGAUUGAUUG